GACGAACGCUGGCGGCGUGCUUAACACAUGCAAGUCGAGCGGUAAGGCCCUUCGGGGUACACGAGCGGCGAACGGGUGAGUAACACGUGGGUGAUCUGCCUCGCACUCUGGGAUAAGCCUGGGAAACUGGGUCUAAUACCGGAUAUGACCUUACAUCGCAUGGUGUUUGGUGGAAAGAUUUAUCGGUGCGAGAUGGGCCCGCGGCCUAUCAGCUUGUUGGUGGGGUAAUGGCCUACCAAGGCGACGACGGGUAGCCGGCCUGAGAGGGCGACCGGCCACACUGGGACUGAGACACGGCCCAGACUCCUACGGGAGGCAGCAGUGGGGAAUAUUGCACAAUGGGCGAAAGCCUGAUGCAGCGACGCCGCGUGAGGGAUGACGGCCUUCGGGUUGUAAACCUCUUUCGACAGGGACGAAGCGCAAGUGACGGUACCUGUAGAAGAAGCACCGGCCAACUACGUGCCAGCAGCCGCG
rnacentral:rRNA from 1 species